GUGUUCACACAAAUUGCUUGAUGAUUUUAUUGUUUAGUGAGAAUGAUAUUUGUUCUUUAACAAUGUGGUAAAAAGUAUAAGUAAAGAUUCCUUGAUUAAUUUAGGGUUAUUUUUAGUUUAGGUUGAGGUGUAUUUUUAUAUGUCUGGAUUGAUGAUUAGAAAUAAUUUUAGUUUAUUUAAUUAACGAGUCUUGGUAAUUUUUGAAAACCGGUGUUGAGAUAUAAUUUUGAUUGGUUUUAGUUAAUAGAUUAUAGAUUUAUUGAUAUAAGACUUUUUGGGGUUAUAUGAUCAAGUGAAUAAGUGCAUACGGUGGAUGCCUUGGCAGUUAGAGGCGAUGAAAGACGUAAGAGCCUGCGAAAAGCUUCGGGGAGGUGGCAAAUAACCUUUGAUCCGGAGAUGUCUGAAUGGGGAAACCCACUGACCAUAAGGUC
rnacentral:misc_RNA from 1 species